GAAAAUUAAAAGAUUUUACAUUAUGAGUUAUACAUAGACAUGUCACAUAUCAUAUAUGGAGUUUAGAUAGACUUCUCGCUUAUGAAGCUUUCAUAGGCUUCAGACAUAACAACAACAUAGCUAUGAUAGAGAUAUGGUAACAUCCCGGAAUAUUGAGGACCUACUAAUAACUUGGGAAAUAUAUCCAAGUCUUCUUUCAAAGUGGCCACCUAUACUUCAAUGGCCCGAACCUACAUUGUUUGGGGGAAAGUGGGUUAGUACAACCACAUGUAUUAAGUAUGGUAACAUAUGCAAAUAAAAUAAUUGAAAUCAUGCUUAAAAGGACCUUUUGUUCAAAACCAUGCUAAGUCACUUUUGAAAUACUUUAUGCACAUAUAAGAGCAUAGACAAGUCAGUAAUCACAAUAUAACUUAAGACAAAUUCAUAUCAACACAAGACCGACACUAGAACAAAUUCAUAUCAACAUGAAUAGCAUCAUAUUAAGGUCAUAUCAGCGUAAUGUCACAACAACAAUUCAUGUUCUAGAGUUCAACACAUCAAACAUGUAAGACCUUUACUCACAACCCCUUCCCAAGACUAUAAGUGUAAUGUUUAUGUGAAGCCCCACAACUGUACAUAACCAAGUAAACUAGAAAAAUGAUCAUAAGAAAUGUCUACAUUUAAUAUAUCUUCAAAUCAUGCAUAUUAAUCAUCAUGUCAUCAUCUUUGAUCAACAUCGUGUUCAUUAAUAUAGCCAAUACCAUGUAAAGUCAACAUCAUUUAAAGUCGACAGUUGUAGUUCAUUCAUGUUAUAAUUACAUAAGAACAACCUCCUAAGACUUCCCUCAAUUUCAACUUGUGCCAUGUAUAAGUAGAUUCCCACACCCCUACUUACACUAAGUAGAACCCCUUAACUCACCCAAGUUAGCGUGCACUUUAUUACAUUCAUUUUACUUUCGGGAACAAUAACCUUAACUGAAAAAAGCACAUGUGAUCUAAAUAUGGAAUUCGGUGUCAUUAUACCCUACAAAGAAAUAAGGUGGUCUACUUGCUGAGGUAGAACAAAAACAUGAACACAGCAUUCUAGGUGGAUCCAUUAGCUAGUAUUCCUAUGGGGGAAACAUAGUUAAGGAAUUAGGAGAUAUGUAUUUAACCCUCUAUAUAGACAUUGGCAUUGGAGUCCUCAUCUCAUGAGAAUCAUUGUGAACCUACCUUCCCACAUUGACAAGGGACACCUCUCAUAUCUAGUUCGCUCGAUGCUAAGCUAAAGUCCCUUUUUAAAAUGUCUUUAAGUCUUUGUUAAUCUUCAUAUCUUAAUAUAGGUCAUAUGAGACUAACCCAUUGAAUAUCAUGUCAUUAUCUCAUUAGUUAUUGCAUGAUAACUUACUUUCAUAACAACCCUUCAUUUGUAAGAUCAAUACAUCAUAGUUAUCUCACAAAUAGCAUAUUCAAUACAUUUUUAUCACAUUCAUAAUAUCAUCAUAUUCGUAAUCUAAUCAUAUAUAAUACUUCAAUUGAAUACCAGUAUCAAGUAUGAGCCAUCACCAUUGAAGUUAAGGACUCAAGAUUAUAAAGUCUUACCCCAUAGCCUUCAUAAGCCUCCUUCAAGAUCUUACAAUCAAUCCAAUGAUAUUCAUCCACCAAUUCACUUAACAAAAUCAUAAAAUAGGAAUCUAUACAAAAACUAAUUCAAUUGCAUUAUAAUUAAUCAAUUUAAUCUUAAUUAAUAACCUAGGGUUAAUGGAAAAGGGUUCAUUCAUGAAUUAUUCCAUAGAACUAGGUCAAAGACUAAUAAAUACCAAAAUUAACGAAUAUUCAAUCAUAAUAGAUCAACAAUAAUAAAAUAAAACUAACAUCAAAUAGAAUUGAAAGAUCAUUCAAGAAAUUGGAAGAACACCCAACUUUUAAACAUUAUUGUAAACCAAAUUUGAAGAGCCUAUUAGGGAAAGGGAUCCCAAGAGUGAAUAGCUUCCAUACCUUAAUAUUCCUUGAAAUUUUAUGGAUAAAAUAUGAAGCGUUGAAUACCUAUUAAACCUUGAAGGUUUUUCUUCAAUGGGUCUUUGAAUAUAGAGAGAAAGAAAAUAGAAGUUGGAGAGAAUUGGGUUUGGGAAAUAUGGUUUGUUAAGUUAGUUUAAUAAUGGUUAGUCUAUAUAUACUCACCAAACUAACUUAAUUAACCAUACCUUAACCCUUAAUUUAUUAAUUAACCAAACCCAACUUAACUAAAUCGUAACAGUGAAGUCAACCCUCCAAACCACGAAAGCCCAUCUACGCCCCGUAGUCCAAACGACGGCCCUAUACUGGAAAACCAUCGUUUGUGAAAGAAAGGGUAUUUUGACCCCUUUCUCAAAUGAUUCUUUGUCUUGAUCAAUGACCACCAUCGAUGGGCCGUUGACCCAUCAAUGUCUUAUCAUUUGGUUCGUAGACUGCCAUUGUCAAUUUGACAGUUUUGGGGUCAAAUGUUAGGGUCCUCUCACAGGACCCUUAGGGUGGUCCUUGGGGACUCGUACCUGUAAGUUACGGCCUCAAAAAUACUAUAAUACAUUUUUAAGACCUUUUUACCAAAUUUAAUUAGAUUCCAACUCCUAACACCCUUAGAAACAUGCCAAGUCGCAUUAGUUCACAUUUCACAAUUCUUCGGAUGUCAUGGUCGUUUCUAGACACUUUGACUCUAACACUUUCUAAUUAGUUUGGAUGCAUUAGUUUAGGCUUAGAAAAAGUGUCUCAAGUCUUAUUUUAUUGUGUUAUUUUCUAUACGAAGUCAUAUACUUAUGGAGUUUUACAUGGAUCCCCUAGACACUAACCCUAACCGGUACAAGCCAAAACGAAACCAGAUCGGUAACAGACCGGGAUGAAAUGACCGGCACGAUACCUUUCAAUUUCGUUUAAAGGCUUAAACCAUUCAUUGAAUUUUGUAGUGUGACAUGUACCCCCUAACCUUUGGACCUAACCGAUAUAAGAUGGAACCGAACCGAACAAGUAAUGGAUUAGGACGGAACGGUACCAGCCCGACACCUCCCGAUUUCAUUACAAGGAUUAGGUCUAUGAAACCUCUACUAAUAGAAUAAAAUGUCUAGACCGGGUUAUGUCCCCUGACAUACCAUGAAAACCAAAGGAAAGCGAUAAAGAAAAGUCCACUUUCUGGAAAGUUCACCACAAUAUUGAUUGAUACCACUAAAUGAUUUAUUGUUUCCUAGAACCACAAACAUGUGUCUCUGGUUCUACAACAUCAAACAAUGUAGCAUACAACGAGAGGUUAGUAGGAUGUGUUUGUCAUACAAUCAAGUGAAAAGGAUAAAGAAUAUACAUAUAUACAACAUAACCAUAUAAGAAAGGCAAAAUUAUAACUACAUGUCGAAAACAUUAAGACAUAGAUCUUUCAAAAAUAAGUAAUCCUGAGUAAGGUGUUGUCAUCGACAUAAUACGACACACAUGAUAUGUGGGUCUAGAGUCCGCCAAACCAAGGGCCCCAAUCCAUGUGUGCCACAUGGAUUUGAGAAAAAUAAGAAUAUACGCAAACCAAACUAUACCAAAUGAAAGACUGUAGAGGCUGCUCCGAUUAACAAACUAAAGUGGUCAUCCAUAUUUUUCAUCCUACAUAAAAAAUAUUGUUUCAGUUGAUGAGUCAGAACAAUUUUACACCUUCUCAGUUAUAUUACUAUUAGGUCUGUAAGAUACAAAAUAUGUUUGUGUUCUAUGAUUCACCCUUGAAUAAUAACUAGCCAGUUCGAUCCUUUUUAUUUUGAUAUUUUUUGUAACCAACUAAGGGGGGUUGUAGAGCAAUAGAUCGAAUUACAAUAUAAAGAAUACUUGUACACUAUAGGACUUAUUGUUCUAGUAGGAAUAUUUCGGUUUUUGUUGUUCGUACUCUUCGAUAAAAUUUUCUUUAAGCCCUCACGAAAACAUUUACAAGUUUUCAUUUAUUAAAAAUUAUCUGAGUAAGGCAUAUUCUCAUUGGUAUCAUCAUACAAAGACUUGCAAAGCAUAAUAAGUCUUAACUCUUCAUUUAAAAAGCAAAGACUCAUUUAUGUUAAAACAUUCCAUUUAAUUCUAAGAUCCAAGUUAUUCCAAUCCAUAAGAAAACAUAGAAAUGCAAAAUAAUUAGCCUUUAACCAAGAUGGAAAAUUAUCCUUUGUUCACCAUUAAAUAAAACUUUCGAAAGACUCAUAGAAUACCAAAUCCAUUAUUUAUAGGACAAACCCUUUUCAAUAUCGUAUGAGGAAAUUCACUCAUUCAAAACCCACAACUCAAAUUAUGACAUUGUUAUAGAGCAAUUUGAGCACAAUUAACAAGAGAGGAACAUUUUAAAUCAAUUCUACCAAAACUGUCUCUUACCCAUUACGUCAAAUCGUAAUUUAUAUAAUACGAAUAAUAAGAUAUUAUAUGAAGCUUUUAUGAGUAGUUUGAAGUAGGGAAUGUUCAAACAUACCUUUUGAUAAAAAAAAUUAGGAAAGCGGCCUUGAGAAUCAAUCUUAGAUCUUUCUUUGAUAUGUUGGGAAAGACGAGGCAAGUGUUUGACACUACUUUUUAAAUCUCAUGGACUAUGUAUUUUAAGGGAAUUUAAUGGGAUGAGGAAAGAACAAAAACACACCUCCUAAAAUUUCAAGAGAAUAUAAGACUGAAAUAAUAUCAGAGUCGAUGCGUGGUUGAGUACGGAAGUUCACAUGAACCUUACAGUAACACUAACUUCCCCAUGUGGAUGAUUUCCACUUCGCAUGAUCGAUGGUUUAAAUCUAGACUGCUCAAUAAAAUGGACUUAAUUAGCCUUUAGCAUAUAACUUUGAUUAACGAAUGUUUGGAGACGCUUGAACAAGGGAUUCACAACCUUUCAUUUCCUUGGUAUUAGCCCACAAAAUCUUAAUUCUAUAAUAUUCCUUUCUGACCUUAAUUCACAUAAAAAUAUCUUCCCAAGGAAAUAAUUAAUUAAAAUACCUAUUCAACAUUAGAAAUCUUCAUAUUUGGAUCCUACAAGCAUUUAAAGAAUGUCUCAAGUCAUAGUUUUGAAAUUUGGAGAGUUACAAUAUCCCUCGCCCCCUCUGAAUGAUCCCUCCUUGAAUGAGAAGUUAACACACGCUUAGUACUAUGUGAGGCAUGUUAACACCUUAAUAACCAAAACAAACUCUUUUAGAUCUACCAACACAACAUAGAACCUAUGAACACAACCAUAUUCGAGUUGUAUCGAAGGAUAGGCACGAAGAUAAAAAUAUAGAGUGAUAUAGAGAUAAGAUUAGCUUCGUUAGCCUCAUCUAGAUGAGUGAACAAAAAGAGGUAUCUAUGCUUCAUGCCCUAUAAAAAUUAGUAAGCAUCUUCGUCUACUUUGUGAUUCCCCCAUAAUACUCUAACUGCAACUAUUUUCAUUGUCCUCAACUUUUGGACUCGAUGAUCUAGAUUUUCAAUAGGGACAUUCAACCUUGUCUCCCUACAUGGGAACGACACCUCCUCUUAGAUGAAGCUUCGUGUUCGACCAUUUGAAUACUAGAUUCGUAGCUAUAGUUAUAUACAAACUUACUUAGGGGUAAAUGGUCUGCCAAACCUCCCAAAAACUAAUGACCCAUAACCCUAAGCUAAGAAAAAUUUUCAACUAGUUUCUACUAUGCUACCUUCGACAUAGAACUCCCUCGCGAAAUAUAUAAUUAUAUGAAUUUGAGUCUACUACAUAGUGUUCUCAUGUUAAAGCUUAAUCAGGAGUCAAAAUGUUCUAGCAUAAUCUAUAUGGCUCUAUACUAGGCAUCCCUCUUAGAAUAGUACACCAUCAUAUCACUACAAUCAAAAGAAUUCAAGUUCUAGUCAAGGAGUACUAAAUGCAUAGUAUCAUGGUCUGCGAAUCUAUCAACCACAAUAUUCAAUCCUUUCUUUACUACACCCACUCUAUGGAUUCCCUUACCAAAAAUCAGCAACUUUAAUCAUUUUUUAUUUAUCUAGACCACAUAUCUCCUUUCUGCCUAUCCACAAAAUGACUGAUCAUCUCACUCUUCCUUUUUUAACCUAUAAUCUUAGAUCAAUUUGUCACACCACAAUCUUUUCAAUUACAAAUCAUCUACUCUCUUAUCUUCAUUGUUCCGUUUCUUUAAAAUACCAGUUGAUAGCAUCAUAACAUAAGGGAGGUCAAUGAGAUACUUGAUUACUUUCUUCACGAAAUAGGAGUGAUGCUACUCAAUUAUGAUUCGUAUUUAUUGCACUAUUCAAGAAAGGAGUAAGAUAUGGUACAAUAGACACAGAUGCUUCAUCUACGCAACACAUAAAGAAUGAACAAAUGAUCAUUUUUACAUACAUAUAACAUAGGCUGAGUUCUUAGGAAAUAAGCCUAUCGGGAAAUAUAAGUUUAUAGCUCAUGAUAAGGUCACCACAAUGUUUUGGGAUCCAUCGAAUACUAGGAUCUUGAGUUAAAGUUGAGCUACCAUUUGUGAAAUUUUUCUCCUAGUUUAAGGAGUGAAGCAUGCUUUAGAAUUUGCAUGAGUACUUGGGCCUUAGACAUAGGCUUGGAACGAGAAAGUAUUCGUGCUUGAUGCAAUUAUAGAAGAUUAAGAUAUGACUAAAUAUUUUUUAUUUUUAUUUUAAUAAAUUAAAAUCCAUUAAUAACUAUACACAUGUUCCAAUAUAAGAACCUAACAGUAAAAGUAGAAGGGUAAGUGACAAAUCUUCAUAAAUUAAAAUAUAUGCAAUACUUCACUAAUGAAGUCUUUGAGGAAUCAAAUGAACACAUAUAAAAAAAAACAUUUAAUGGGCACACUUUUGAUGUGAAAACUUGAAAUUAAACAAAGUCUCAAAUGGGGUAAAAUUAUGGAUCUUCAACCAAAAGUUUUGGCAGUGAGAAAUUAUAGAAAAACUUCUGAAUCCUCCUUGAGGAGCUUCCUCGAAGAUCAUUGGAUCAUUUGGAAAAUAAGUCAUGGAAAAUUUCUUUUACUAAUGGUGAAAAAUAAAAGAGGUUCCUGCAUAAACAAAUCUUGACCAAAGUAUGAGUUGUGAAAUUUUAAAGGCUAUUUAGUUUUACAAUAGGAUAUCACUAAAUGCAGUUCAAUGUCAUUUUCAUAACAUUUAACAUCUCCAACAAAGUGGAAUAUAUGUUACUUGCCUAUACAAAAGUUUCUUGAAUAGUAAUGGGAACAUGUACAAACAUGUUUACAGACAACACGAUAAGUGCAUAUUACCGAUGAAUCUAAAUAAUCUUAUCUACAAAAUAAUUGAAAUCUAGUUUCUAAAUAGUAGCAGAACCAUGUAAGAGUUCUUAUAUUUAAGAUGUUUAGAUACAAUAUUGUGCAAGAUCAUUUACAAUUGGUUGCCAUCAUCUAAGUCUAGAUGACGUCCUAAGAAGCAACAUUAUCAAAAUUUUCUUGAAAAGAAUUAAUGGAAAUCAAUUAAUCACAUUCCUAGUAGUGUUGAUUCUUCCUCACUAAUCCAUAGAGUAAUUUCAUAAUCAUUAUAACAAUUCUGCUGGAGAUUAAAGAUUAUUUAAGAUUGUUGAUUGAUCAAAUAUAUACCUGCAUGAGCAUCAUGCAUGGCUCUCGUCUACUGUAUUUUCUUUGUGGGUGAUAGGCUGACCAUACUUCAACACUAACACAUACUUAAACUAAGUAAAUAUUAAUUUGGGAUUGGAAGUAGUAAAGCCUUUGAAAGGGUAAAGCCUAAGAUCCAAAUUAAAAGGUGUAUAUUUGAAAUUGUUGUAUGUGCUAAAUUUCAUAUUUGUUGGUUUUCUAUAACAGGACGAAGUGUCUAGAAAUCACGAUCAAGAAAUUGAUCAAUUUUGUAUUCUUCAACAAGUCAAAGAAUUCUGAAACGAAAGAUCAAUUCCAUGAAUUUAAUGUUAGUAAUUAUAGC
rnacentral:lncRNA from 1 species